rnacentral:misc_RNA from 1 species
CCGCGGUUUUUAAUCGGCAGUAGGUCAGAAAUGCACGCUGUAGCAGAAAUUAAUAAUCGUGUGUUUGUCGCGAUAUAUCCGCGUUCCACGCCGCUUUCUAUGCAUCCUUUUAUCUAAUUGCAAGAUAGUUGAAAAGGCCGAGAUUGGCGAAGGAUUCUUUGGCCUCAGAAUCCUUCGUACUGUUUAAUAGGACGAAGGUGAAUUCUAACCAGUAAUCUUAUCAAGAAGGCUACCCUGUUUGUCACCGGUACUUAUCGAUUGGAAGACACGUCGCAUCAUCCCCAAUUUGUCACAUCGUACACCCCAAUGACCACCCCAUCUGAUUCUAUGUAUAAUCUAUCAUAUCGAAUGAGUAGGGUGCCCCUUUUUUGUUGACGACAGAUGCAAAAGAUAUCGAAUUUCGUG